UAUAUUGGGGAAUGAAGAAGAUUCGAGGGAGACAUCAAUAAAAAUUAAAGAUUCUAUUGAGUUAAAGGGCAUUUCAACUGUUGUUCUAAUUGAUUUUAUCUUCCCAGAUGUUUCUAAGAAUACAAAAGCAAGUGCAAACUUUUUCAAGUCAUUCUUAUUACUACUGUUCAAGGAGAUCGUAUUGUGUGUUCUCCUUACUUGGUUCUUGAUCAUUCAACACUUUAGAACUUGAGGUCGAGUUUUCUCCAAUAAAGGGAAAAUAAUGCAGUAUAGGAAGUUAAAAUUUUAUUUAGGAAUUUUA
rnacentral:misc_RNA from 1 species